rnacentral:rRNA from 1 species
GAUGAACGCUGGCGGCGUGCCUAAUACAUGCGAGUCGAGCGAACAGACGAGGAGCUUGCUCCUCUGACGUUAGCGGCGGACGGGUGAGUAACACGUGGAUAACCUACCUAUAAGACUGGGAUAACUUCGGGAAACCGGGGCUAAUACCGGAUAAUAUAUUGAACCGCAUGGUUCAAUAGUGAAAGACGGUUUUGCUGUCACUUAUAGAUGGAUCCGCGCCGCAUUAGCUAGUUGGUAAGGUAACGGCUUACCAAGGCAACGAUGCGUAGCCGACCUGAGAGGGUGAUCGGCCACACUGGAACUGAGACACGGUCCAGACUCCUACGGGAGGCAGCAGUAGGGAAUCUUCCGCAAUGGGCGAAAGCCUGACGGAGCAACGCCGCGUGAGUGAUGAAGGUCUUCGGAUCGUAAAACUCUGUUAUUAGGGAAGAACAAAUGUGUAAGUAACUAUGCACGUCUUGACGGUACCUAAUCAGAAAGCCACGGCUAACUACGUG